UCUCACUCAUGCCCUCUCCCUCUAGUGUGGGAAAACAAGAGGAACCUCCAAAAUUUCCUAGCUGCACAAAGAAAUUGGUGGAAAUUCACUUCAUUUUGAAGCUCGGGGUUUCUAUGUGGUUGAUUUAAUCAAAAUAUUAAUGUGAUUUUUCUAGAAGAAGAAAAAGGGAAAAUAUAAAAAUCAUGCUGAUUGGAUUUGAAUAGAUUGUAUUGAUCAUAUAUGAAUAUUAUCUUUCAUCCAGAUUGGAAAGUACUGUUUUGAAAUCCAGUCCUUCACACUUCCAAACUGAUCAUUUUUAAUAAGUAAAUGUCAUUUUGGCUUUUUUUUUUUUUUUCUGGUCAGGAAGAAAAACAAGAAGUUUCCUUCCGCAAACUUCCUAAAAGGUGCCAUGUGUUUUCCUAAAACCAAGGAAAAUUCUAAAAUAGAACUACCAUAUGAUUCAGCAAUCCCACUUGUAAGUAUAUAUUCAAAGAAAAUGCAAUCAGUUUGUCAAAGAGGAAAUUAAAUCAGUAUGUUGAAGAGAUAUCUGCAUUGCCGUGUUCACUGCGGCAUUAUUUACAACAGCCAAGGUUAUUCAAUAAUAUGACUCCAGGUAUUGCUGUGAGGGGAUUUUGAAGAUGUAGUUAAAGCCCCAAAGUGGUUGACUUUUUACAAUACGGAGAGCAUUUGGUUGAGACUGAUCUAAUCACAUGAGCCCUUUCAAAGCAGAAUUUUCUCGGGCUAGUAGCAGAAUGGGAAUUGGAAAUUUAAAGUGCAAGAAGGAACUAAUGUGAAGAAGAUUCUCCAUUGCUGAGAUGGAGUGGGGCACGUGGCAGGGAUCUAAGAGUGGCCUCCAGAAGCUCUAAAUCUCCAGAAUCUCCAGGGAUUGGAACCAAGUGCUUUAUCUUUACCAUAUACCAAUCCAUGAAUCAACUCCAAAACAGAUCUCUAGAAACAGACAAGACUGACUACUGCCUGAAGGUUUCUGACACCAAGUUCCUGAGAGGAAUACAUUCUCUUCUCCUUUGGCUGCUUAAUCCCUUCUCAUGAAAAAUAACCUUGACCUUUGCAUUCUAGAUGUACCAAAUAUGAAAUAAUUUUAGAAUUCGAUCUCAAAUGGCCCUUUUGCAAACUCCAAAAUGUUGUAUUGUUAUCUGGGAGAGAAUCAUUUGCAAGAAAAGAAUAACUUAUCAGAAAGGAGAAACUGCACAGAAGAUCCAAAGGCUCAACUGUUCCCAUGUGUACUGGGCUUCUGACUCAUUCUGGUUCUCAGGAAAGAGAGGCAAACCUCUGUUUCACAGCAAUUUUCAGAGGGAUUUGGGGGCUCUCGGGCUGCUAUGAGCCAGUGGCUGCUGUGUGCAUGCAGGAGGAGGUCAUCUUGCAGAGGAGUAGAGAUGUUAGCUUUGCAGGGAAAUAAAGAAAGAUAAAGAAGGA
rnacentral:lncRNA from 1 species